rnacentral:lncRNA from 1 species
AAUUUUAUUUACAUCUUUAAAAGAAAAUUGAGCUACGUGAAUAUAAUAACUACGUUUCAAAUAAGACAGUAAUGUAUAAUUGCAUAACAAAAUCAUAACAAUGUCUUAAGGAUGUUCGCUACUCGCUAACAAGUUUUUUUAUAGUAUCGAUUGGUAGAUUAAGAUAUAACAAAACCUUAAAGAACAUAUAAGUACGAGAGGUCCGUGAUCUUGUUUUUGAGGUAUAAGCUUUUGAAAUUUGCCGGGAAAUGAAACUCUCUAGAUUUUUCAUACAUUUCAUUUGCAUUUAGCAUUCAAUUUGUUUAACAUUUGAAUAUUUUUUCUUUCAAAAACUGAAAAACGAUUAUAUUACAUUUUCAAAAAUAGCUUUUCAAAAAUAAUAAUAAUAAUUAAAGUUAUUAUAAGAAAAGAAGGGGUUAGACGGCAAAAUAUUUAAUAACCCUUCAUAGAUAAAACAAAAAAAUUGUGAAUAUCUGACGAAGAGUAAAAAAAAAAAGAGUAACAAACAUCCUCAAUUAUAAAAAUGUAAUAAAAUCAAUAAAAAUAUAUUCCCAUCUUUGAUGAUUUUUUUUGGCACAAAUAUUAAAAAAAUGACGGAACAAAAGUUUUUUGUUUUCAUUAUGUUCCCAAAACAAUUGAGUCAACUAUAUGUAUCACAAUGCAUUCUAAUGAUGUUGUAUUCUGACGAGUAGGUAUCCCAGUGGUAUGAAAACAUAUGAUUCAUGUCACAUACCAAAAUCAGAAAAAAACAAGAAAUGUCUAAUGAACAAAACAAUAAAUUCACAUCUAAACAGGCAAUGUAUGUGCAAGUUAUUAUGCAAAAAACCCAAAAUAAUAGAAAAUGACUGCAAGUAUACGACCAGUAACAUUUGUUUGGUCUAGCAUGUUGAAUGCAACAUAAAAAAAAAAAAAACAAACCGAGACAACUGAAUUAUUAUGAACAUUUGUAUCGUAAAAAUAAAAAUUACAAUGUAGUAGUCGAGAACAUGUAAAUAAAAAAAAAACGAUUAAUUGAUUGAUUGAUUGGUUCAUUAUUGAUUACUUGGUUGAUUGAUUGACUGAUUGAUUGCUAACAAGUGUUUAACGUCGAAAAGGAGCAUAUACAAGAUAUAGGCGGAAUCAAAGAGGUUUAUCUGAACAAUUUACGGUAAAUGUUGGUUAUAGAAAAGGAAAAUACAUAAUUUUAGGUUAUAAAGACAAAUUAAAGUAUCAGAAGUCUGUACAACUACAGUUUUUAAAAGAGAUAAAAUGAACAAUGUUUUGCCCCCCUCCCCCCUAUGAUUAUACGAUGGCUGCGGUCAACUCUCUACUGAAACGAUUACAGUGGUCAAUUCUCUACAUGAUGACAGUGAUCAACCCUCCACACGAUUGUAGUAAUCAACUCUCUACUCAACUAUCUACAUGGUAGCAGUAAUCAACUCUCUUCACGAUUACAGUGAUCAACUCUUUACACGACGACAGUGGUCAAUUAUCUACACGAUUACAGUGAUCAAAUCUUUACACGACGACAGUGGUCAAUUAUCUACACGAU